CUACUCCAGCCUGGGCAACAGGCAAGAAUUGGUCUAAAAGAAAAAAAAAAAAAAAAAACAGACUUUACAGGGUAUGUCAAAGAAGUAUAUUUGGGGGUGAAAUACUUUGGUUUUCUUCAAAAGAAUGGUGGAAUUCUUCAAAUGAUAUUGAAAAGCCAUUUCAAAUUAAGACAACAGGUUGCAGCUAACUUAGACAACUACCCAUCCAGACUUGAACAGGUUAGAGGCUCUGGGAACAAAUUCUUCAAGAAGAUGAAAUUGAUAGGCAAUAUAUGUAUUUGAACAUAUUGAGAGAAAAGAAAUUGAUGUAUCUGGGAGAAGAGUUUGGAAUAGCUGGGCAACAAAAUAAUCAUAGCACAUCUUCUAAACUGAGAAAUCAAUAGAUGACUAGACUACAUAUGACAGUAAUGUUUCAUCAAGGUCAAAUUCUCGUGUCAUUAUUGUUAGGUGACAUACUAUCUGCAGCUAACUCAGUUCAGAAACAGGAGAGAGAAAGCAAGUGUGAAUCUAGAUAAGGAUAUACAGGUGUUCACUAUAUUCUUCCUCUAACUGAAGAUUUAAGUAAAAUAAACCAUUGAGAGGUGAGAGUAUUAUAACUGUAUUAUUUCAAGACAUGGAAGUAGAUCUCCAUGCUUAUCAGUUAGCUUAAAUUGUUUUGUUUAUUUAUUUAAUUUUGAGGUGGGGUCUCAUUAUGUUAUGCAGACUAGGCUCAAGCAAUUCUUCCACCUCAGCCUCCAGAGUAGCUGGGACUGUUACCAGAAAAGGGGUUUUGUCCCAGGGCCCAAGAGUGGGUUCUCAGAUCUCGCAUGGGAAAGAAUUCAGGGCCAGUCACAUAGUAAAGUUAAAAUAGUUUAUUAGAAACUACUCUGUGACAGAGUAGGGUGUCCUCAGAAAGCAAGACGAAGAAUGCGCCUACCUUAACCCAUUUAUGCCUCAGGUUGCAAUUUUUUGAAUUUUUGCAAUCAGACCUUGGUGAUGACCUUGAGCAGUAGGAUAUAAAUAACUCUCGCAUGCUUAGCGUUCCAAUAAUGGAACAUUAGGUAUAAAUGGAUUUAAACAAGAAUGCUUGCUUAUAUAGGAAUAUUAGGCCUAUAGUGCAGUUUAUUAUAAAGGCUUGUGACAGGCUGUUAGUAUGGUUAUUCUCUUGUGUAACUUCUGAUCUUGGCAAGAAUUUAUGAGUGUACUAUUAUCUUUAGAGGAAAACAUAUUUUUUAAACUAAGAAUGCCUUUUUCCACUAACUUGUUUCCUCAACCAUAAACAUCUUGUGAUUAAGAGUGCCUAACUUCCUGGGAAUAUAAUGCAUCAGGUCUUGCUUUAUCCAGCCUUUAUUCAAGAUAGAGUCACUCUGGUUGGGAUGCCUCUGACAGAGCUAUAGGGGCCCAGCUAUACUAAAUGUUUUUAAGUCGUUGCUCAUGGGAAUGAGAAAUUAGCAUGUUGGGAUGGUGAGAGGAAGAACCACUGAUGAUUUUCAUAACUAGCUUUGGACAGUAAUUUGAUGGUUGAACUCUGAAAUAUAUAUCUUUGAUUAAAAAUAAAAACUAAACUAUAAAAAAAAUUAAGGAGAAAUUAAAAAUCAGUAAAACCGAAACAAAAAUUAGCAGCUUUUGUACAUGCAAUGCAAACAAUGUGUGGUAAAUAUAAUAGAAAAAAAGGCAACAUUAAAUUGGUUAAAAAAAAAUUCAGAAACAAUUUUUUUUUAACCAAUUGAAUGUUGCCUUUCCAAAACUACCUAUGGCCUGCCUCACCUCCAUCCUGUGCCUAUAAAGACCCCAGACUCAGUUGGUAGAGGAGAGAGAGGUGGCUUGAUUUUAGUGAGGUGGCUUCACUUCAGUGAGGCAGCUUGACAUCAGAGAGACAGCCUGACUUCAGAGAAGAGCUGGCCAGACUUUGGGGAAGAGAUGCUGGAUUUCAGGGGAAGACUACCUGCCCAUCCCAUCCCCUCUUCAGCUCCCCCUCUCUGCUGAGAGCCAUUUCCAUCUCUCUUAAUAAAAUUGUCUGCCUUCACCAUCCUUCAAGUGUUCAUGCAACUUCAUUCUUCUUGGACACUGGACAAGAGCUUGGGACCCACCAAACUGCAGGGACCCACAAAAAGUCUGUCACACCAAUGGAGGAAGUAGACUGCCAAGGUCAACAGGUUUAUGUUGAUCAGCCUGAGAACCAGCAGCCAUGACCACAUGUGUAAGCAGGCUGUGAAAGGAGCUCAUUUGCUCCUCUGGGGGAAGGGGAGCUUACUUUUCCGCACAGGGACCAUCCACAUCUGAUGAGCAGGCCAUCCCUCCAGCCUUACGUCAUGGCUGAGUUCCUUAACAGCAGAAAGUUCGUUUGGCCUUUUUGUGGACAGAGAUGGGAGUUACAAUGGUCUAAACUGAAUGAAAUGCAGCAAGUAAGCCCUUCCGGGACCAUUUCCCCUGAAGCCAAAAACCUUAUUAUGAACAAUUUUCCAGAGGGUAGCUUGGGAAAGAAUAAUGAUUACCAGUUUGAUUUUUUUUUUUUUUUUGAGACAGGAUCUCACUCCUGUCACCUAGGCUGGAGUGCAGUGACGUGAUCACAGCUCACUGCAGCCUUGACUUCCCAGGCUCAGGUGAUCCUCCCACUGCAGCCUCCUGAGUAGCUGGGACUACAGGCAUGUGCCACCACAACUGGCUAAUUUUUUAUAUUUUUAGUAGAUAUAGGGUUUCACCAUGUUGUCCAGGCUGGUCUUGAACUCCUGGGCUCAAGCAAUCUGCCUGCCUCAGCCUCCUAAAGUGCUGGGAUUACAGGUGUGAGCCACUGCACCCAGCCCGGUUUUGAAUUUUAUAAAAAAUGUUUUCUCCAUUUCCCAUGACAAGUUCAUUCUGAAUCCCACUGAAUUGGGAAGAGUCUUUGGCUCAUAAAUCAACUAUGUAAUCUCAAGAGAUUUGAAUUCACACACACUUCAAUUCCUAUGUAUUGCUAUGCAUUGGAGACAACCUUUUUUGGCAGUCAGAAAACCUAAACACCUUGCACAAAUACCAAUUUUCCUUCAAAUGAUCUUUAGCAAUAUCUGUAUUACAGGAUCUUUGGUAAACUAGAAGCUCUUAGCAAUUCCUUUUCAUGCUAGGUUUGAAUUUUAUUUUUUUUGUUUAAUACAUGAGAUGGACUAGAGUCAACUUUGCCCUUGCCGGUGGAGGGCAGCCACCCCAUGCAAGGAGGCAAGGGGCCAACUGAGCUGUUAAUACACAGCCGUCCAUGGACAGCAGAACUAAAGGAGCAUUGUUAUACCCACUCUGGGGCCUCAAGGUCGCAGGCAGCCCCCUACAACCUGGGCACCGCUGCACGGAGCUUUCUCCCGCUGGUGUCUGGAGUGACCAGCUGGGUCCUGCACUCACUCACUUGCACCUGGUCUGGCUGUAGGCCCCACCUAGAGCUUGUUCCUAGGUCAGCGCCCGGAGUGGCCAGUCAGAUCCUGCACUUGCUCACUCACAUGAUCCUUCCUGCAAGGGGUUGAGCAUGGUGAGUGGAGUAAACGUUCACCCUUGUCACAAGUUCAAUGAAGGGGCCGAGAAAAAUUAUGCACUAUUGCCAUGCCAGUGCUAUGAGCAUUGUACUUGACUCUCACAUCUCUCUUACCACACUACUUCUAAUUUACUGUAUUCUAUUACUUCUACAUCUUCAAUAUCUCUAACAAUCUAUGUCUGGUACACCUACUGUCAUGUGGGCCUCUAACAUGUCUUCCAUGGGUCAAUGCAACAGGAUCCUGACUGGUCUUCCUGCUUCUGAUAUAGGCUGAAUCCAACCCCUUCUUCAUGGAGUAGUAUUUCUACUGCCCAUCAGUGAUUCCACUGCUCUUAGGACCAAGUCCAAUGCCUCAUCUUGGAUUGUGAGGCCCUUUGUGAUCUGGCCCCUUCUUUGUCUGGCAUCAUCUCUCCAUAACAGGAAACAGUAACCUUUACCAAUUGACAUUAAGAAAGCCACAGGUUGUGUCUGAGUCUGUACUGUGUGGGCUAGUUUCCAAAAUUAUGAUGAGUAAUUUCAGUUUCAGGCCAGUCUUCCCUGACCUCAAAAUAUUUCCAGAAGGCCAGCUUCUCAGCCAUUUGGGGCUGUGGGACUGGAGUUCCCAAAUAAAGAGAAAUGCCACCUAUUGUAUUUUCCUACUUCUUGCUUCUAGGCUCUUUUGUUGAAGUUGCUUCAGACUCAUCAUGCACACUGUCCUCAGUGGCAAUGGCUCUUAAAUAAAACAGAAUUUGCCAGUGUUUCUCUUUUGUUUUCUAUGUAAAAACCAGCUUAUUUUCUCAAGGUUUUGUGGUUGACAAAAAUCCUGCCCUAUCUAGUAGGAAAGGGUGGGGUUAUUAGAUUAAGUAAGUUGUCAGUUGAAUGAACUAUCUGCUCCUUAGGACAAGGACACUAGGGACCUUGUCACCUGUGCAUCCUCCACAGGCAUCUGUAAGGACUCCUUGAAUUGUUCAGAAUUGCAUGUGUUCUCUGUCUCCUCUGAAAUUAAUCUGGUGUUCUUUCAAGUCAAAUUGAUCUAGUGUUGUGUUGCUUCGACUAGAUAUAAAUAAGAAAUCCUAUUGAUUUGAUACACUCUGAAGUGUUUGGAGAGCAAAGACACCACUGAACAGGAAGGAAGUAUUUUAAGCCCCUCAGCCUACGUGCUCCACAUCUGGGAAAAUAUUACACUAUGGAGUCUCACUCUGUUGCCGGGCUGGAGUGCAGUGGCACGAUCUUGGCUCACUGCAACCUCCGCCUCCUGGGUUCAAACGAUUCUCCUGCCUCAGCCUCCCGAGUAGCUGGGAUUACAAUAUCACAGGAUUGUUGGUAAACUAGAAACACUUAGCAAUUCCUUUUCAUGCUAGGUUUUUUCUUUCCUUAAAUACAGGAGAUGGACUACAGUCAACUUUUUCCUUCACCAAACAAGAUAUAUAAAAUCACUAUUGUGAAUGGAAAAUAAAUUUUGGGACCCCCAAAUCACUAAGCCAAAAGGGAAAGUCAAGCUGAGACUUUUGCUUAGUGCAAACCUGCUUCCCAUUCUAUUCCUUAAAAAGAUAGCUACUAAGACAAAAAAGCUAUGUACCUCCCUCACAAUUUGUCCACAGGAAAAUUCCUUGUGGACAAAGGACAGACAGAAUUCAAAGUCUUCCCUCUGCUCAUUGAGAUAAGUGCAUAUCUGAUUGCUUACUUUGGAAAGGCUAACCAGAAACUCAAAAGAACGCAACCAUUUGUUUCUUAUCUAUUUAUAACCUGGAAGCCCCCUCCCCGCUUCAAGUUGUCCCACCUUUCCGGACUGAACCAAUGUACAUCUUACAUAUAUUGAUUGAUAUCUCAUGUCCCCCUAAAAUGUAUAAAACCAAACUGUGCCCCAACCACCUUGGGCACAUGUCGUCAGGACCUCCCGAGGCUGUGUCACAGGCAUGUCCUUAACCUUGGCAAAAGACAAAACAAAACAAAACUUUCUAAAUUGACUGAGACUUGUCUCAGGUAUUUGGGGUUCACACUAUGCUCCCUUAAUUAUCAUAGUGGACAAUUGUUUGGGGCUGCUCAGCAUCCAUCUCUAUUUCUAAUAAUGUCCCAAGUCUUUUUCUCCCCACUGAGUGUGAGUUUGGUGAGAGGGUGACCUCUGAAACUGUGAGGACCAAGGGGCUACAGCUGAGUGGCCCAAUACAGUAGCCACUAGCCACACAUGACUACUGAGCACUGAAAUCGGGCUAAUGUGAUUGAAUUUUUUUAAAAAAAUUAUUUAUUUUGAGAAAAAGUCUGGCUCUGUCACCCAGGCCAGAGUGCAGUGGCACUAUCUCAGCUCACUGCAACCUCUGCCGCCUGGGCUCAGGUGAUGCUCCCACUGCAGCCUCCUGAGUAGCUGGGACUAUAGGCGUGCACAACCACACCCGGCUAAUUUUUGUAUUUUUUGUAGAGAUGGGGUUUGGCCAUGUUGCCCAGGCUGGUCUCAAAUUCCUAGGCUCAGGUGAUCCGCCCACCUCGGCCUCCCAAAGUGCCGGGAUUAUAGGCGUGAGCCACUGCACCUGGCCCUGAAUUUUUCAUUUAACUUUAAAUGAAUUAAAUUUAAAAACUGAGUUUAGUUUUUUGAAAACUGUGAAGUAUGUUUAGAACAAGUUGGGCAUGUGAACCUACUUUUUUAACUGUACAUUUUAUGAAGCUUACUUAUAUACAGUUAACUUUUGGAAGAUCAAGUAUUUCCACUGAAACUUUAGCUUCCAAGUUGAAAUGUGCUAUAAAAUAUAUUGGGAUUUUGGGGAAAAAGUGUAAAAUAGCUUACUGAUAAUUUUUCCUAUAUUGAUUACAUGUAGAAAUGAUAAUAUUUGGAUAUAUUAGGUUAAAUAAAAUUAAUUUCAUGUGUUUUUAAUGUGA